AAAAAUGUUUCUAGCACAAUGUUUACGCUCUGCGUCGGGAAGGAGGUCUGCAACAACAUUAAUCAAACCUUUCUACUUGUCGGAUAUGAUAGUGAAUCCAUUUCCUAAACUCAAAUCCAAAUCAGACUUCAACUUAUCAACAAACCAAGCCCAUGAGGCAUUAUCUUCCACUCUAACUAUUGCCCAAGCUAUAGGAUAAAUCCUAUUAUCCGCAUCUCGUCCAACAGCUGCAAGAAUCUCACC
rnacentral:lncRNA from 1 species